GCCACGCCCGCUCAAGAAACUUAAAGAAUGACGGGGGCCCGCACAAGCGGAGGAACAUGUGGUUUAAUUCGAUGAUACGCGAGGAACCUUACCUGGGCUUAAAUGUAGAUUGCAUAACUUAGAAAUAGGUUUCCCUUCGGGGCUAUUUACAAGGUGCUGCAUGGUUGUCGUCAGCUCGUGCCGUGAGGUGUCGGGUUAAGUCCCAUAACGAGCGCAACCCCUAUCGUUAGUUGCCAGCGGAUAAUGCCGGGGACUCUAGCGAGACUGCCACCGUAAGGUGAGAGGAAGGUGGGGAUGACGUCAAAUCAGCACGGCCCUUAUGUCCAGGGCUACACACGUGUUACAAUGGCCGAUACAAAGGGCAGCUACCAGGUGACUGGAUGCUAAUCUCAAAAGUCGGUCCCAGUUCGGAUUGGAGUCUGCAACCCGACUCCAUGAAGUUGGAUUCGCUAGUAAUCGCGCAUCAGCCAUGGCGCGGUGAAUACGUUCCCGGGCCUU
rnacentral:rRNA from 1 species